CCAAUAGCGUAUAUUAAAGUUGUUGCAGUUAAAAAGCUCGUAGUUGAAUUUCGGGGUUAGUAGGUUGGUCAUGCCUCUGGUAUGUACUGGUCUCACUGAUUCCUCCCUCUUGACGAACUGUAAUGUCAUUAAUUUGGUGUUGCAGGAAAUCAGGACUGUUACUUUGAAAAAAUUAGAGUGUUUAAAGCAGGCUAAGGCUUGAAUACAUUAGCAUGGAAUAAUGAAAUAGGACGUUUGAUCCUAUUUUGUUGGUUUCUAGGAUUGACGUAAUGAUUAAUAGGGAUAGUUGGGGGCAUUAGUAUUCAAUUGUCAGAGGUGAAAUUCUUGGAUUUAUUGAAGACUAACUACUGCGAAAGCAUUUGCCAAGGAUGUUUUCAUUAAUCAAGAACGAAAGUUAGGGGAUCGAAGACGAUCAGAUACCGUCGUAGUCUUAACCAUAAACUAUGCCGACUAGGGAUCGGAUGAUGUUAAUUUUUUAAUGACUCAUUCGGCGCCUUACG
rnacentral:rRNA from 1 species